rnacentral:rRNA from 1 species
GAUGAACGCCGGCGGCGUGCCUAAUACAUGCAAGUCGAGCGAACGGACGAGAAGCUUGCUUUUCUGAUGUUAGCGGCGGACGGGUGAGUAACACGUGGAUAACCUACCUAUAAGACUGGGAUAACUUCGGGAAACCGGAGCUAAUACCGGAUAAUAUUUUGAACCGCAUGGUUCAAAAGUGAAAGACGGUCUUGCUGUCACUUAUAGAUGGAUCCGCGCUGCAUUAGCUAGUUGGUAAGGUAACGGCUUACCAAGGCAACGAUGCAUAGCCGACCUGAGAGGGUGAUCGGCCACACUGGAACUGAGACACGGUCCAGACUCCUACGGGAGGCAGCAGUAGGGAAUCUUCCGCAAUGGGCGAAAGCCUGGCGGAGCAACGCCGCGUGAGUGAUGAAGGUCUUCGGAUCGUAAAACUCUGUUAUUAGGGAAGAACAUAUGUGUAAGUAACUGUGCACAUCUUGACGGUACCUAAUCAGAAAGCCACGGCUAACUACGUG